UGAACGCUAGCGACAGGCCGUAACACAUGCAAGUCGAGGGGCAGCACAAGGAGCAAUCUGAGGUGGCGACCGGCGCACGGGUGAGUAACACGUAUGCAACCUGCCUGUAAGCGGGGAAUAACCCGUUGAAAGACGGACUAAUACCGCAUAAUACUAAAUUACUGCAUGGUAAUUUAUUUAAACAUUUAUGGCUUACAGAUGGGCAUGCGCAUGAUUAGCUAGUUGGAGAGGUAACGGCUCCCCAAGGCAACGAUCAUUAGGGGUUCUGAGAGGAAGGUCCCCCACACUGGUACUGAGACACGGACCAGACUCCUACGGGAGGCAGCAGUGAGGAAUAUUGGUCAAUGGACGAGAGUCUGAACCAGCCAAGUCGCGUGCAGGAAGAAUGUUCCCUAUGGAUUGUAAACUGCUUUUGCAGGGGAAUAAAGUGCAUCACGUGUGAUGUUUUGUAUGUACUCUGCGAAUAAGGAUCGGCUAACUACGUGCCAGCCGCCGC
rnacentral:rRNA from 1 species